rnacentral:rRNA from 1 species
UAAACCUCGUACCUUUUGCAUCAUGACCUAGCCAGAACAUUUCAAGCAAAGAGAACUUUAGUUUGAUACCCCGAAACUAAGUGAGCUACUCCAAGACAGCCUAAUAAUAGGGCCAACCCGUCUCUGUGGCAAAAGAGUGGGAAGAGCUUUGAGUAGGGGUGACAGACCUAUCGAACUUAGUUAUAGCUGGUUGCCUGAGAACUGGAUAGAAGUUCAGCUUCGUAACUCCUCCAUGAAUUACGAGAGUUAGUCAAAGGGGGUACAGCCCCUUUGAAUAUAGACACAACUUUUUCAGAAGGAUAAAGCUUAAAAUAGACCAAGGAAAAAUGUUCUGGUGGGCCUAAGAGCAGCCAUCCAAUAGAAAGCGUUAAAGCUCGAACAUUAUUCCUAUAAACCAGCCUUAAUCCCCUACUUUUACCAGGCCGUCCCAUGCAAACAUGGGAACGAUAAUGCUAGAAUGAGUAAUAAGAGAGCCCUCUCUCCACGCACACGUGUAAAUCGGAGCGGACCAACCACCGAACCUUAACGGCCCUAAACAAAGAGGGAACUGAGAAACAACCAGACAACCCCCCCCCGUUAACCCUACACUGGUGUGCCCUUAAGGAAAGACUAAAAGAAAAAGAAGGAACUCGGCAAACAAGCCUCGCCUGUUUACCAAAAACAUCGCCUCUUG